GACGAACGCUGGCGGCGUGCUUAACACAUGCAAGUCGAACGGAAAGACCCUGCUUUUGUGGGGUGCUCGAGUGGCGAACGGGUGAGUAACACGUGAGUAACCUGCCCUUGACUUUGGGAUAACUUCAGGAAACUGGGGCUAAUACCGGAUAGGAGCUCCUGCUGCAUGGUGGGGGUUGGAAAGUUUCGGCGGUUGGGGAUGGACUCGCGGCUUAUCAGCUUGUUGGUGGGGUAGUGGCUUACCAAGGCUUUGACGGGUAGCCGGCCUGAGAGGGUGACCGGGGACAAGGGGAGGGAGAGAGGGACCAGAGGGCUACGGGGGGCAGCAGGGGGGAAGAUGGCAGAAUGGGCGGAAGCGGGAUGCAAAGACGCGGGGGGUGGGAAGAAGGGCGGCGGGGGGUAAAACGAAGAAGCGUGUGAACAAGCGUGAGUGACGGUAAUGGGUAAAGAAGCAACGGAUAACGACGUG
rnacentral:rRNA from 1 species